UUCCAGAAGGUCGAGUCUCUCAUUUCGUUCUGUGGAAUUUUCAACGAUGGGUUCCGUCUUUUGUCUUCAAACCGGGAAAAGGUACUGUCUUGUUUGCACCCAGAAAGUUUAAAGAUUGGAUUUUCAGAAGCACCUUUUCGGUCAGAAAAAAAUCAGAUAUUUUUUAUUUUUGGGGAAAACUUGAACAUUUUCGCCCACUAAUUUCACUUUUUUUUUAUAAAUGGAAUCGAUAGUGAAGAAGUUGAAACAAAAUCUGAGAUCUGGGUCCGUGAAAAAGACGGAAAAAAGCAUGAAGAAGGAAAGAUGGUUUUUGGAGAACGGAAGUAUCUUCUUAAAAGAGCUCAUCGCUGAUUGUAAUGGUAAAUCCAUUCCUAUACGUAGCUUUACCUCUUCCCAGAUUCGUAAAGCCACCAAGAAUUUCGAUUCCAGUUGUUUUGUCACUGAAGAAGGGUUCUACAUAUGGUACAAAGGUGUUAUCGAAGAUAGAUCUUACAUGAUCAAGAGAUUCUCUGAGUAUAAAGUCACAGAUUACAGAGUAGGAGAGGUUUAUAAAGACAUUGUCUUGUCUGCUCGGAUGAGCAACCACAGCAACUUUCUUCAAUUAUUAGGAUGUUGUCUUGAUUUCCCUUUUCCGGUUCUUGUGUUUGAAUUUGCUGAACGUGGAGUUUUGAAUCAUCGAGGAGGUGUUACCGUUAACGGGGAGGAAUCUUUAUUGCCUUUGAGUUUGAGGUUGAAGAUUGGGAAGGAGAUUGCAAAUGCCUUGGCUUAUCUUCACAUGGCUUUCCCUAAGAUCAUUAUAUUUAGAGAUGUGAAGCCAAUGCACGUUUUCUUGGACAAGAACUGGACUGCAAAGUUGUCUGAUUUAUCUUUUUCAAUAUCGCUGGACGAGGGAAAUCACAGAUAGAAGCGGAAGACGUGCUGGGCACAUAUGGUUACCUUGAUCCAUUAUACUUUGCAACUAGAAUUGUGACAGAAUAUACUGAUGUGUACAGCUUUGGAGUCCUUUUGAUGGUUGUUAUGACUGGCAGAUCGGUUUACUUCACUGGACCUGACGGAUAUCGAGUAGGUAUUCUUGCAUAUGUGAAAGGUUUAUCUGAGUAUGGGAAGCUCAGUGAAGUAAUAUGUCCUAUGAUGAUGCAAGACAUGACAAGUGCUCAAAGAUUGCAGGUGGAAGCAUGUGUUUUACUUGCACUGAGAUUCUGCGAGGAGAGGGUUGAAGACAGAACGAAGAUGAUUCAGGUAGCUAAAGAACUCAAGCGGAUAGAACAUCAUGUUUUGAGAUCCUAGCUAGUGAUCAUCUCUACUCUCAGACUGUAUAGCCAAGUUUCAAAUUUAUUAGUUCUGAAAGUUUGGAACUCAAGCGGAUUAUGGACCUGAAGGAUGCCAAAGAGUUUAAGGGGUUAGAAAGACUUUGAAAGCCUCUAUGUCCGACCCAAACAAAGUCUACUUUGUGUAGAGUUGUCUAAAAGCCUUUGCUUAUAUAUGGUCUUUCUCUGUUUUUCAGAUUUCUCUAGUAUUUUUGUUGAUAUGUAACAUGAGCUUAGAUAGCUAGAUUUCAGUUUGGGCCUAAUGGCGUCAUAAUGAAACUGCAAAGCUAUUUCUGCAUUAUUAGUUCCAGAAGUUACAAAGAUGAUUUACAUCUA